GUGGGGAAUCUUGCGCAAUGGGCGAAAGCCUGACGCAGCCAUGCCGCGUGAAUGAUGAAGGUCUUAGGAUUGUAAAAUUCUUUCACCGGGGACGAUAAUGACGGUACCCGGAGAAGAAGCUCCGGCUAACUUCGUGCCAGCAGCCGCGGUAAUACGAAGGGGGCUAGCGUUGCUCGGAAUUACUGGGCGUAAAGGGCGCGUAGGCGGACAGUUUAGUCAGAGGUGAAAGCCCAGGGCUCAACCUUGGAAUUGCCUUUGAUACUGGCUGUCUGGAGUACGGGAGAGGUGAGUGAAACUCCGAGUGUAGAGGUGAAAUUCGUAGAUAUUCGGAAGAACACCAGUGGCGAAGGCGACUCACUGGCCCGUUACUGACGCUGAGGCGCGAAAGCGUGGGGAGCAAACAGGAUUAGAAACCCGUGUAGUCC
rnacentral:rRNA from 1 species